rnacentral:rRNA from 1 species
GAUGAACGCUGGCGGCGUGCCUAAUACAUGCAAGUCGAGCGAACGGACGAGAAGCUUGCUUCUCUGAUGUUAGCGGCGGACGGGUGUGUAACACGUGGAUAACCUACCUAUCAGACUGGGAUCACUUCGGGAAACCGGAGCUAAUACCGGAUGAUAUUUUGCACCGCAUGGUUCAAAAGUGAAAGACGGUCUUUCUGUCACUUCUAGAUGGAUCUCGGCUGCAUUAGCUAGUUGUGAAGGUAACGGGUUACCACGGCGACGAUGCAUGUCCGACCGGUGAGGGGGGUAGGCGGCCUUGGAACGGGAACAGGCUCCAGAGUCCUACGGGAGGCAGCAGUAGGGAAUCUGAGGCAGUGGGCGAAAGCAUGACGGAGCAAGGCCGCGUGUGUUAUGAAGGUCUUGGGUGCGUGAUGCCCGGUUAUUAGGGAUGAACAGAUGUGGAAGGAAAUGUGGACAGCGUGACGGUAACUGAUAAGAAAGCCACGGCUAACUACGUG